rnacentral:misc_RNA from 1 species
UGCAAACUCUGCUGAGACUUCAAGCAUCCCAACUAUUGCCUUCACACUAUCAAAUACGGGCUCCUUAUCUUCCUGCAAAUCGCGAUUGUAAGCAUGAGGAAGUCCCUUGCACAACACAAGAAGUGAAACUAAGUCCCCUAUGACUCUAGCAGAUUUUCCACGAACAAGCUCCAUUGGAUCUGGAUUCUUCUUUUGGGGCAUUAUACUGCUUCCAGUGGAAACUUUAUCACUAGGGGUUAAGAAACCAAAUUCUUCGGAUGCCCACAAUACCCAUUCUUCACCCAGGCGAGAGAGAUGAACAGCAGUGAUAGAAUUAGCAGAAAGUAACUCCAGCACAAAAUCUCGAUCUGAAACUGCAUCAAUGCUGUUCCUCAUGGGAGCAGUAAAUCCCAAUGCAUCAGACGUCAUAAACCUAUCAAUGGGAAGACCAGUGCCAGCUAA